rnacentral:rRNA from 1 species
UCAGGACGAACGCUGGCGGCGUGCUUAACACAUGCAAGUCGAACGAUGAACCGCUUUCGGGCGGGGAUUAGUGGCGAACGGGUGAGUAACACGUGGGCAAUCUGCCCUGCACUCUGGGACAAGCCCUGGAAACGGGGUCUAAUACCGGAUAUGACCGUCUGCCGCAUGGUGGAUGGUGUAAAGCUCCGGCGGUGCAGGAUGAGCCCGCGGCCUAUCAGCUUGUUGGUGAGGUAGUGGCUCACCAAGGCGACGACGGGUAGCCGGCCUGAGAGGGCGACCGGCCACACUGGGACUGAGACACGGCCCAGACUCCUACGGGAGGCAGCAGUGGGGAAUAUUGCACAAUGGGCGAAAGCCUGAUGCAGCGACGCCGCGUGAGGGAUGACGGCCUUCGGGUUGUAAACCUCUUUCAGCAGGGAAGAAGCGAAAGUGACGGUACCUGCAGAAGAAGCGCCGGCUAACUACGUGCCAGCAGCCGCGGUAAUACGUAGGGCGCAAGCGUUGUCCGGAAUUAUUGGGCGUAAAGAGCUCGUAGGCGGCUUGUCACGUCGGUUGUGAAAGCCCGGGGCUUAACCCCGGGUCUGCAGUCGAUACGGGCAGGCUAGAGUUCGGUAGGGGAGAUCGGAAUUCCUGGUGUAGCGGUGAAAUGCGCAGAUAUCAGGAGGAACACCGGUGGCGAAGGCGGAUCUCUGGGCCGAUACUGACGCUGAGGAGCGAAAGCGUGGGGAGCGAACAGGAUUAGAUACCCUGGUAGUCCACGCCGUAAACGGUGGGCACUAGGUGUGGGCAACAUUCCACGUUGUCCGUGCCGCAGCUAACGCAUUAAGUGCCCC